AUUAAUCUUACGUAUUAAUUGUUUUUAUUGAAGUUUUCUGUUUAAAAUUUAAAUACUUUAUACUUCUAGAUAGUUAUUAAAUGAAACUCUAAAUAUUAUACUCACAAAAACUAGGUAAAUAGCAAGUAGCAAUCUACCAAAUUAUGAGAAAUAUUUUCCGUGACUUCAAGUAUUAUCUAGUCAACUUACAUAGUUUAAUUCACUACUUCUCUAACUGAAGACAGAAUUAUAAUGAACAAAAUGAAUAAUAUUCAAACUGAUGAUGCAGAUGGAGCAUUUGUUUACUAUAAUGACUUAAAUAUGGAGAGAAAUAAAGAGCUUCUUCUUACUCUACGACAAGAAAAUGGACAACUUCUUAAAAAAUUAAAUAUAUUAAAUGAAGCAAUUGAUGUUCUUAAAGACAAUAAUAGUGAAGAGAAAAUUACUUAUUAUGAUAAGGUGGAUUUUAAUAAGUAACUAGCACUUAGCAGUGUUGUAAAAUAUUUGAGUAAAAGUAUUCAAUUACUUUUUUUUAAUAUUAAAUACUAAAAUACUUUUUUUAAUUAUUUUAAUGGUAUGUGCUAUGUAUAUUUUAAAUUCAGUCUUAUAAAAGCAUUCACAAUGUUCACAAUUCAAAUUGCUUUCAAUUUUAACUUCUCCUUCAUACAGUCAUUAAACAAAUAUAUGUAUAUAAAUAUUAGAACUUAAUUAAUGUUAAAACAAUAUUUUGAUUGCAUUGAUUAAAAAAUUAUACUUUCAAUACUGUUUUUAAAUAUAGUUUAUAAUUGCAGUUUUUUUCUUUAAGUGAAGUAUAAAGAAAAUGUAGGUACCCACUCAUAAUCGUAUCAGUGAAAUGAAUAAUUAUUGUAACUUUAAAAUUUAAAUAUUAAUAUAACUAACAAAAUAUAUUAUAGUAUCCUAUUCUCCCCAGUGACCUACCUAAAAAUAGCAAAGGUCCUUAUCAUGGCUAAUAGCUAUCUUUUUUUUUCUGAAGUAAAAAAUGUGUUCUGUCCCAUUCAUAUUUCUGGAAGACGAAUGGUACUUUAGGAGGUCAAAAUAUACAUUAGUGCUACAUGUUUUUGACAUUAAAUAUUAUGUUAAUGACUAUUGUAAGUACAUAAGUAUAUAUAUAAACAAAAUUAAAUAAUCAGUCUUUAAUUCUUAUUAUAAACAAACAAAUAAACAAAUAUUGAUAUAUAACAUAGAAUAUAAAGUAUAACUUAUA